AACGUUGUUGCAUUUAAAAAGCUCGAAUUUGAAUUGUGGGGUGAAAAUUUGGUUGUUUCUUUGAAAUGGCUGUCGGCUCACCCCCUCUCCAAUGUGUUAUUAUGGGUAUUAAUUUACUUGUAAUAUGUAUUGGGCAUUUACUGGGAAAAAAUUUAAGUGGUCAAAGCAGGAAUUUGCUUGAAUAUAUUAACAUGGAAUAAUAUUAAAAGGCUUUUGUGGUCCAUUUAAUUGGGUUGUUCAUAAAACAAGAUUAAUAGGGACAGUUGGGGGUAUUCAUAUUCAAUAAUUAGAGGUGAAAUUCUCGGAUUUAUGGAAAAUGAACUAAUGCGAAAGCAUUUACCCAGGAUGUUUUCAUUAAUCCAAAAACAAAGCUAAGGGAUCCAAAAAGCUUAAAUACCCCCCUAAUCUUAACUAUAAACUAUACCCACUAAGGGUUAAUAGAAGGCUCUUUGUUUUUAUUAGUACCUUAUGAGAAAUCAAAGUCUUUGGGUUUCGGGGGGAGUAUGGUUGCAAGGGUGAAACUUAAAGGAAUUGACGGAAGGGCACCCCCCCCAGAGUGGAGCCUGCGGGUUAAUUUGACUCAACACGGGGAAACUUUCCAGGUCCAGACAUAGGAAGGGGAUACACAGAACAAAGUCUUUUUUGAUUUUAUGGGGGGUGGGGCAUGGCCGUUUUUAGUUGGGGGGAUGAUUUGUCUGGUUAAAUUCGAUAACGAACGAGACCUUCGCCUUCUAAAUAGGUUUUAUUAAAUUUUAGUAAAAUUUUUUUAGAGGGGCACUAUACGCUUUAAGGUAGGGAAAGCGGGGGCCAUAACCGGUUCGGGAAGCCCUUAGAAGUUCUGGGGUGCCCGCCCGGGGCCAUGGUUUGAUCAAACAGGGAGUGGAUCGAUAGAAUGGU
rnacentral:rRNA from 1 species